rnacentral:snRNA from 1 species
UGUGAAAUGACUUGAGAGGU